UGGGGAAUUUUCCGCAAUGGGCGCAAGCCUGACGGAGCAAUACCGCGUGAGGGAGGAAGGCUUUUGGGUUGUAAACCUCUUUUCUCAAGGAAGAAGUCCUGACGGUACUUGAGGAAUCAGCAUCGGCUAACUCCGUGCCAGCAGCCGCGGUAAUACGGAGGGGGCUAGCGUUGUUCGGAAUUACUGGGCGUAAAGCGCGCGUAGGCGGGCUGGUCAGUUGGGGGUGAAAUCCCGAGGCUUAACCUCGGAACUGCCCUCAAUACUACCAGUCUAGAGUUCGAGAGAGGUAAGUGGAAUUCCUAGUGUAGAGGUGAAAUUCGUAGAUAUUAGGAAGAACACCAGUGGCGAAGGCGGCUUACUGGCUCGAUACUGACGCUGAGGCGCGAAAGCGUGGGGAGCAAACAGGAUUAGAUACCCGUGUAGUCC
rnacentral:rRNA from 1 species